AAUUAUUAGAAAAAAAAAAAUUGUUUUCCACUUCUAACGGUGGAAUUACACUUUCGUGCAUCACUUGUCUUGAGAAUUCUAGCAACGAUCUCAAUUUUUGCCUCGUGCUUCACCUUUCAUGUCACAUCUGCGUCGAAUUAAGCUUCUACUAAGUUUAGCAAUCAAUUAUCAACACUCGUCAAUCAGCAAUCAAACAUGAACUGCUAAUAAUUAAAGAAUUAUAAGCCAACAAUUGUGCAAAUCAAACAUCCCAAAUUAAUGAUUAAAAACUCAAAAGCCAGAAACUUACUCUCAACAAGUUCUAAUUUGUGCUCAUGAUGUUGUUUUCUUAAGUUCCAUUUGGAACAUCUUGAUCAUAACUAAUUUUGGGUUAUGAGCCUAGUGACAUUCACUGAGGCAAAGUAGUAAAAGAA
rnacentral:misc_RNA from 1 species